AUCGUCUCAGUCUCCUUCCCCAUCUCAGAUCGAUCUAGCCCUGGACUGAACCCAGCACCUCUGUCCCGUCUUCGCUCGCCGGCCGCCACCAUGGCCGAAUCCCCACCCCAAACCCUACCCUUCCUCCUCCUCCCCCUCAUCCUCCUUUCGAUUGCCCCCGCCGCCAGCGCGGCCGCGUUCGCCGGCCUCGACGCCUUCCUCGCGUCGGCCGCCGCGCGCGACCCCUCCGCCGCCAACGACACCUUCGCCUCUCUCCCCGCCGGCCUGCGCCGCGCGCUCUCCGCCCCGUCCCCGAUCCUCCCGUCUCGCCUCCUCUCCCUCUCCGCCGCCGUCCCCGUCAACGUCCGCCUCGCCGGCUCCUCCUUCCCGCCCACCUCCGCCGGCCUCCUCCCUUCCUUUGUCUCAUCCGCCGUGUCCUCCUCCCACUUCCUCUCCAGCCGCCCCCCGCACCGCCUCGCGCUCUCCCACAGCAUCCACCUCGAUGUCGCCGCCCCCGCCGCGUCCUCCGACCUCGUGACCCGCGCCGCGACCGCCGUCCAAGCCCACCUCAAUGCAGCCCCCGCGCCCUUCCACUCCAACGCCCUCUCCUCCGUGCCUUACAAAAUCGUCGACGAUAUCAUCGCCGAGGACUACCGAGCGCACGCCGGCUCGGCGUCCUCCCCGGCCGUCUACAUCUACUUGCUCGACCUCGGCCCGCAGCCGCGUCCGUACGCCUACACCGCGGCCUCCUCCUCUGCCGAUGGCCAUUCGCCUGCCUUCUCCCGCUGCCUCGCCCCUCUCUGGACCGGCAAGGAGCGCUACAUCUGGAUCGACCUCGGUGCAGGCCCGGUGGACUACGGGCCGGCGCUCUCCGGCGAAGGCGUCCUCCCUCGUGGUGAGUUUCAUCCUCUUGCUGCUCUCCACGGCCGCCCCAAGUCGGACAAGGCGCUCCUUGCGGAUCUGGCCUCACUGGUUCUCAGUGCUUACAAGUCGUUGCUAGUGCCUUCGCUCAGAAUCCCAGUGCAUUUUGAGAGCUCUUUGCUUAUUCGUUUUGUUCACAUCCAUGGUGAAGAGAAAGAUCCUGUUGGACUCGAUUGGAGUGCAAUUGAACAGUCGAUUCGGGAUGGAGAUCUGCCCUUCGAUGGCCAGAGCUUGAAGUUUGAUUCGCACAGUGUCAAGUACUCUGAGUGCUCAAUUUGCUCAUUUGCAAUUGCCCGCUCAACACACUCAUUUACAUCCAGGUUCUUGUUUGAGAAUUACACGAUGAUAGUGAGUGAGUACUUGGACUCCAAGCGGAUGAGGCAGGUGCUGUCAGACUCGUCGGAUGAGUUGCAUCGUGUGGCUGGGAUUCAUGAUGAUGAUGAGCAUGACAAGGUUGUGCCAGUUUAUGUUUUUGAUUUGGAUUUCGAUAAGCUUCUGUUGUUAGAUAGGUACCACCAAGCGGUGGCUUUCCGUGAUAUGGUGGUUGCUGUGAGGACAAGGAGCUCGCAAACGGUCAGUGACUACAGCUGUAAUGGUCGACAUGUAAUUACAAUGACUAGAAAUCUCGACCGUCCGAUCAUCGGCUCAGUUCUGCAGACCAUGUUUGGCGUCUCACCAACACACCAGUCAUGGAGCCCUGAGCACAAUGCCACGGUCGUUGAUUACACUUGGAGCACUGGACAUACACCAUUUGGGCCGUUCUCAGAGACGAAAUCACUGUCUUUUGUGCAGAAAGAUGCAGCCCGUAGGAAUGUUCUUCUUACCACCCUCAACUACACAAUCACUAGUACAGUUGAGGUUCUGGAGUCACUGGCUGCCCAUGGUGGGGAAAAUAUACUCCUUAGAAAGAAAAGGCAUGUUGAGUUCAUUCAAAGGUGGAAUCUGCUCACUUAUAAGUUGGAGAAGGUGGUGUCAGCCAUGUCCCGCCUGGAUUACGACAAGGCAAUGUACCUUUUGAGAUCUUCAGAUCAUGAUAUGUAUGCCAUUUACAUGUUGGUGUAUCAGGCUUCUCAGGAGCUGGAUGCCUCACUGGUUUGCUUCAAAGACCCACCAUUCCCAUGGCUAUCAGUUUCCUUGUCUGGAGUCUUUGUUUUUGGUUUCUUUUUUGUGUAUUCUAAGAGGGAUAGUUUGUUUAGGAGCAAAAGGAAGCAGUUCUGAGUUCUGACAGCAGUUUUGUUGGUGGAUACUACUUGAAAGCUUCACCCUGAUGCGAUCAUAGUUGACAGCUGCCGGGAAAUUGCAUCCUUGCAUAUUACAUGGAGCAGUGACUAGACACUGGGAAUGGGUGCAUCUUGUUCCAAGAUAAACUUAUAAGAGGUAUUCUAGAUUAUUUGAGGAAGUCAACACUUCCACUUGUCUUGUAAGUUUAAUGUGCCUGAAUUGCCCUUCAUACAUAAUGUUGAUCUAGAUUUUGCAGACAU
rnacentral:rRNA from 1 species